GACGAACGCUAGCGGCGUGCUUAACACAUGCAAGUCGAACGGAAAGGCCCUGCUUUUGUGGGGUGCUCGAGUGGCGAACGGGAGUUUAACCCGUUAGUAACCUGCCCUUGACUUUGGGAUAACUUCAGGCACCUGGGGCUAAUACCUGAUAGGAGCUCCUGCUUCAUGGUGGGGGCUGGAAAGUUUCGGCGGUUGGGGAUGGACUCGCGGCUUUUCAGCUUGUUGGUGGGGUAGUGGCUUACCAAGGCUUUGACGGGUAGCCGGCCGGAGAGGGUGACCGGCCACAUUGGGGCUGAGAUACGGCCCAGACUCCUACGGGAGGCAGCAGUGGGGAAUAUUGCACAAUGGGCGGAAGCCUGAUGCGGCAACGCUGCGUGCGGGAGGACGGCCUGCGGGUUGUAAACCGCUUUCGCCUGUGACGAAGCGUGAGUGGCGGUAAUGGGUAGAGAAGCACCGGCUAACUACGUG
rnacentral:rRNA from 1 species